UACCAAGUCCUGGUGUGUCCUGUAGUUGGAAGUGGAAAAAAAAAAACACACCCUAGAUAUAGAAAGCCAAGAGAUAAUAGGAUACUCACAGCUAGAGAAAGGGCAAACUUUGUAGGAGGUGGAGAAGAUGUGCCUGCUAUAUGCCAGGUAAACAAAACCCUUUCUCACAACAUACAUGUUGUUGGGAAAGAGAGUAAGCACAA